rnacentral:rRNA from 1 species
CAUCGGAACGUGUCCUGUUGUGGGGGAUAACUGAUCGAAAGAUCAGCUAAUACCGCAUGAGACCUGAGGGUGAAAGCGGGGGAUCGCAAGACCUCGCGCGACAGGAGCGGCCGAUGUCUGAUUAGCUAGUUGGUGAGAUAAAAGCUUACCAAGGCGACGAUCAGUAGCUGGUCUGAGAGGGUGAACGGCCACAUUGGGACUGAGACACGGCCCAGACUCCUACGGGAGGCAGCAUG